AACCACACAAAAAUGAAAUCCACUCCAUCCAAACAUCUCCCCUUCUCUGAAUCUUCUUUGCCCCUCUUUGGCGGCAAGGGGCGGUGGCCACCGACCGACAAUCAUUCUUAGAAAUACAAAAACUCAAACAUGAAGCCAAGCUUUUUUAAACCCUGAACAUGGAUCCACAUUUAUCCUCCUCUAAUUUCCUACCCGUUGUCCGGAUCGGAACCUCAAACUCAACUUUGUCAAGCUUAGAAAUACAAUUUAUCUUCAGGAUAAUAAACAGAACAAUAUUCGAUACAUAAACAGGAAGCAUUACACUAAAGAGUUUAUAUGGGAAUCAACAAGUCAAAGCUCAACUCGCAUAUAUGUAUACAAAGCAAAAUCUGAUUUUAAACCACAACCUAUUACGCUCAUGCGCUUGCUUUAAAAGCCAGGAAAAAGAAAAUAUCGGUCAAAAAUUUACCAAGAUGGUCUGUUUUCAGGAUUUAGCUCGGUUAACUCAAGGCUUCAAUGAGGAGGUCUGAUCUACCUUUCGUAUCUUCAAGUUUUAGUGUGGUUUGCGGAAGAAUUCUACAGGGUAACAAUAGAGUCCCCUUUUCACGAUUGGGAUGCGUCCCUUUUAUAGACCCCGGUGUGUGGUCCCUUUGGUGGUGAGAUGGCUUGUGAAUCCAGAAAAUCAUUCUGUUGGAGGAGAAAAUUCCCCUUUUGAUUUUUUGGGGACCGAGAUAUGAAUAUCUCCAAUUUGUUUGUCUAUUGCUAAUGAGAUUUCUGGAUCCUCUAACUCUGGAUGGUGCCCACUUUGGUUGUGGUUGUGAACUCAUGUUGCCUCACUGCAUUUUUUUCUACCGUAAACUGUUUAAUUGUUGAAGGACUUCGAAGGGUGUUUGGAAAAGGAACACGAAGAUAGGUACAACAUGGUUCAAGUCGGAAUAACUCAGUUGUAAAAUCAUUUUUUAGUGUCAUACCGGUAGGAAGGUCAUGGAUGUUGGAUCAAGGAACGGGCAAGGGUUGCUGUUGGGCUCAAAGUUGCAUGGAAGAAUGACUACGCUUUCUGGACCGUAUUUUUCGUAACUUGAGUAUCAUGAAUUAUUAUUGUUGCUUCGCAUUUGGGAGUUGUUGCAUUUUGCAGGUUGCCUUUUGAAUUCAUGUUUUUGACAUGUUCGUGGAAUGCAGGUUUUCUCGUCGUGCGUUCGCAUCGUUUGGAAGCUAUUUGUGUUUCAGUUUGCAGCUGGAUGCGCAUAGUGUUGGUUGCUGUUAUCUAGUGCGUGUUUUGAGUAAUGGUGUACUACUAUCGUGAAUUCUCUGCAUUUGUCGUAGCCGUUAAGCUCUGGUUUCCUGCAUUUGCUGUAGCCGUUAAGCUUUGGUUUCCUGCAUUUGCUGUUGGUGUCAACUGUUAACUGCUUAGUGAGUUCAUUAGUUGCUUAGGAUUUAGAAAAUGACUAAGGAAAUAGGCAAUGGAUAUAUGGACUUUGAAUGGAAUGGUGUUAAUGUACAUGGAAUUUUGAAACAAGUACUUGUAUAUUGUAAUGUUGGUUUGUAAAUGCAAAUGUGAUUUGGGUAUGUAAACAUGUUUUGGAAAUUGACAUGCACUCAUGGUUUCAACACGAAUCAUAAUGAACCAAGGAUGGAUUA